rnacentral:rRNA from 1 species
AGUGAACGCUGGCGGCGUGCCUAAUACAUGCAAGUCGAACGGAGUGGCGCACGGGUGCGUAAUGUAUAGCUAAUCUGCCCUACACUAGAGGACAACAGUUGGAAAAGGCUGCUAAUACUCAAUAGUUUUGGCGGAUUCUAUAUUGUAUCAGCUAGUUGGUGAUGUUAUGGCUCGCCAAGGCUACGACGCAUAACUGGUCUGAGAGGAGGAUUAGUCACCCUGGAACUGAGACGCGGUACAGGCGCCUACGGGAGGGAGCAGUAGGGAAGAUUGCACAAUGGGGGAAACCCUGAGGCAGCAGGGCCGAGUGGGGGAUGACACUUUUCAGAGCGUAAACUCCUUUUGUUAGGGAAGCGGUACCUAACGAAUAAGCACCGGCUAACUCCGUGCCAGCCGCCGCGGUAAUAC